rnacentral:rRNA from 1 species
AUUGAACGCUGGCGGCAGGCCUAACACAUGCAAGUCGAGCGGCGCGGCGGACGGGUGAGUAAUGGAUAGGAAUCGGCCUGGUAGUGGGGGAUAAGGUCAGGAAACGGGCGCGAAUAACGCAUACUCUUAGAUGAGGCUAGGUCGGAUUAGCUAGUUGGAGGGGUAAAGGCCUACCAAGGCGACGAUCCGUAACUGGUCUGAGUGGAUGAUCAGUCACACUGGAACUGAGACACGGUCCAGACUCCUACGGGAGGCAGCAGUGGGUAAUAUUGGACAAUGGGCGAAAGCCUGAUCCAGCCAUGCCGCGUGUGUGAAGAAGGUCUUCGGAUUGUAAAGCACUUUAAGUUGGGAGGCGUUACCAACAGAAUAAGCACCGGCUAACUUCGUGCCAGCAGCCGCGGUAAUUC